rnacentral:lncRNA from 12 species
AGACAUUUUUGCACUGUGCCUGCAGUGUAGCCUCUGAACUCAUGAUCAAAUUCCUCAUGGGAACAGAGCCAGGGUAAUGCUCAGGAACUAGUUAGCACAACAGUCUUUCUUGGAAGAGCACAUUCUUGAGGUCUCAGCCUGUGGCUGGGUGCAGUGUUUGCUGUAAGAAACUGGAUAAAUGUUUGCAAGUGCCUGCCCUGUGUCAGGUGCUAUGCCCUGGGGAUGGUGAGUGGCCUGGCUGCUAUUCUCUUUCUGUGUACUGCAAGCAAAGGUAUGGCACAGACUUGGAGUCUGCAUGGACAGGGUAGUCCAUCUGAGAGAAAUCCUGGAUCUCUCACCUUGAUCCUAAACAAUGUAAAACUGAAGAAUGGACAAGUUUGAGUGACUGGAGGCUAAACUCCAUUCCUUAAUAACUGGAUGCAAGGGAGAAGAUUUGGAAAAUUUUAUUAAUAGCAAAGACAAGUAUCUCUAAGAGACCCAACCUCAAGAACUCCAGGUAAGGUGUGGGCUGGUGGGGGGGGGACACAAGACAGUGGGGGGUUUGACCUCUGGGCCAGGAUCUGGUUUUUAGGAGUUAAGGUUGAGCUGCUGUCUAUGCAGCAACAACAUUCAUAAAGGCAGGCUUAAGUCACAGGGAACAAAGAUGAGAUGUCAAGGCUUUUCCUAAAAAGGAUUUUUGGAGAAGAGGAGGGCUUCCAGAGAAAUCUGAACUUGACAGCGUCUUGAAUCCCUCAAUAGACCCUCAGGCUUAAGCCAACUGAGAGCAAGUUACACAGACGUGUGCAUUUCUGCUGAGGACAACACGAAGGAAGUGUCUCUCAUCCAUUUCAAAACCAGAUAGAAUGAAAUAUAAACUUCUGCGAGUUAAGCUAAGUGGCAAGUUUUGACAUCUCACAGGAAAUCAAGUUUCUGCCAAGGAAAAGCCAAGAGUUUUUGGUCAGGACCCAAAGGACUUUUUAAAGCUUCUCAUUAGCAAGCCAGGGAGUAGUAUGAGUUUUCUAACCCACUCUGUAAGCCAUAGUAUCUCUCCUUACUUAACAUCAGGAAGACCCAAGAAUACUUUAUAAAUGGACAAAGAACUCAAAGCGUCACAUGUCUCCUGCAGGAAAGGGGGACAAUGACCCUUUCCCAGAGCCACCAUAAUUAAGUGUGCCAAUCCCAAUCCCACUGAG